AUGGGAUGGAGCUGGAUCCUCUUCCUAUUGGCAGCAUCUAUAGGUGUACAUUCUCAGGUCCAGCUGCAGCAGUCCGAGGCUGAGCUGAGGCAGACUGGGUCCUCAGUGAAAGUGUCCUGCAAGGCUUCUGGCUACCCCUUCACCAACUACUAUAUACACUGGGCGAAGGAGAGCACUGUGCAGGGACUGGAGUGGAUUGGAUAUAUUGGUUGUGGAGGUGGUGGUACUAGCUACAAUCAGAAGUUCCGGGGCAAGGCCACACUGACUGUAGAUGCAUCCUCCAGCAUCGUGUACAUGGAGCUCAGGAGCCUGACAUCUGAGGACUCUUCAGUCUAUUACUGUGUGAGACAAGCACCCACUGCUGCAACCACAUCCUGA